CGCUGGCGGCGUGCCUAACACAUGCAAGUCGAGCGAGGAGAUCCUUCGGGAUGAUCCUAGCGGCGGACGGGUGAGUAACACGUGGGCAACCUGCCUUAUAGAGAGGAAUAGCCUUCCGAAAGGGAGAUUAAUACCUCAUAACAUUGCAGUUUCGCAUGAAACAGCAAUUAAAGGAGCAAUCCGCUAUGAGAUGGGCCCGCGGCGCAUUAGCUAGUUGGUGAGGUAACGGCUCACCAAGGCGACGAUGCGUAGCCGACCUGAGAGGGUGAUCGGCCACAUUGGGACUGAGACACGGCCCAGACUCCUACGGGAGGCAGCAGUGGGGAAUAUUGCACAAUGGGGGAAACCCUGAUGCCAGCAACGCCGCGUGAGUGAUGACGGCCUUCGGGUUGUAAAGCUCUGUCUUCAGGGACGAUAAUGACGGUACCUGAGGAGGAAGCCACGGCUAACUACGUGCCAGCCGCCGC
rnacentral:rRNA from 1 species